UUUUUAUAAUAAAUAUAAACUUGCCACAUGUUAAUAAGAAAUGCUGAUCCACUAUGCUUAACAGUGGGCUAAGAGAUAUCCCAAAGUACAUUCACACUACCUGCUUACUGUUAAUGCAUGGAGAUUAUAAUUCUCCACCAACACUACAACAAGGAAAUCCAAAAGUAAAGACCUACAAAGACAAACAAAGCAAGAUUCUCUCUUCAGGGAUUAUUUAUCAAAUAUAUUUAUGAUUUCAGCUUACUAGACUGUAAAUUAUGUGCCAAGAUAGCAAGAUAAAAAAUGUUUGUCGAGUGAAAAAAUUAAUAGUUCAAAAAUAAAAAAAUGUUUCAUGGGAGUAAAAAUCCAGUAUCAUUGUUUCAUCACUUUCAAAUACACCACAUUAGAGAAAUUAAUUACUUUACCAUGAUAAAGUAAUGUUCACCACUAUCCUCUCAAUGCAAGAUAUUUCAAUAUAUCAAACCCCUCUGUGUAAUCAAUACAUAACAAAGCAGUACGAGUGUUUAUAUCUAUAUAAUGGUUGAAUUUAAUUAGAUUCAACAUCCUGGGAUCAUCUUUCUCCAGAAACAUAAAUGAAAUAAGGAGAGUUUCUGUCAAAUGACUCACACCUUGACACUCAAAACCUUUCUACCAUCUAAAAUGUGCAAUUAAAAAAUGAGGGAAUAUUAACUAUUGCCUUGAUUAAUAUAGCUGCAAUAACACACAUUUCAUUUGCUCUAUAUCUAUCUACAUCACUGUCUAUAUCUCUAAUUUCCUUUUCCCCCUCACUAGUCUGAAGAAGGGUCACCCAUUCCUUCUCGCCAGAGAUGCUGCCUGCCCUGCUGAGUUACUCCAGCAUUUUGUGUCCAUCUUCGUUUUAAACCAGCAUCUGCAGUUCCUUCCUGCACAAACACAUAACACACAAGAAACUAGGAACAAGGUAGUUUGCUUGACUGGCACUCUAUCCAGCACCCUAACGUCACGACUGCAUCAUCUAUAAAAUACACGCAAGUACAUGCUAAGCUACUCCAACGGGCAGCCCCAAAACCCGUGGCCUGUGCUAACAAAAAAGGAUAAGGACAACAACUGCAUGGGAACACCAUGGCAUGCAAAAGGCAAAGUUCUGGAAGAAAGUACACAAAAUGUUGGAGUAACUCAAAUCAGACAGCUUUUCUAAAGAACAUGGAUAGGUGACUUUCAGGCUGGGACUUUUCUUCACACUAAUUGUAAGGGAGAUGGCUUAGCAGAAGGCUGUGAGAGAAGAUAAGGCAAGGGGGCUUUUUGAUAGACAUAUGGUAGGGCAAAUGCCAGACAUGCAAAGACAGAAUGUGUGAGACAAAAGGAUAGAAGAGUUAUGAAUUGUGAAGCCCAAGGAGUACAUGUGGGCAGAGGUUGAGGGGAGAAAUAGGGGGUGAGUGGCCUGGUGGAUGUUUGGGCGGAAGGGGCGAUUUUUAGAGGUUACUUAAUAUUGUUGAAUUCAAUGGUCAUCCCAUUGAAUCGAGUUGUAAACUGCCCAAGUGGAAUACGAGGUGUUGUUCCUCCAGUUUGAGUAUAGCCUCACUCUUGCAAUGGGGGAGGCCCUGAAUGGAAAGGGUAGUAUGGGAAGGGGUUAUAAAAAGAGUUCUGUAACUUCAAACGCAGUAGAUCAGGUUAGAUGAGGUGUACGUGAACCUCUGUCUCACCUGAAGGACUGCUGGGGUCCUUGAAUGGUGGCGAGGGAGGAGGUAUAGGGACAGGCGUUACAGCUAUCAGCAAGACAAAGGAGAUUGUGAUCAACUUCAGGAAGCGAGCCAGCAUACAUUGGCAGCACCGAAGCGGAGAUGGUUGAUGGCUUCAAGAUCCUAGGAGUGACUAUUACCCGCAACUUGUCCUGGAGCAGCCAUAUCGAAGCAAUGGCCAAGAAAGUACACCGAUGUCUCACUUCCUUAGAAGUCUUAGGCACUUUGGCAUGUCUCUGGCAACUCUCACAAACUUCUACAGAUGCUCUGUAGGAAGCAUUUUAUUGGGUUGCAUUACAACAGGGCUUGGGAAUAACUCCAUCCAAGACCACAAGAAAUUGAAGCGAAUCGUGGACGCAGCCCAGACCAUCACACAAACCAAUGUUCCUUCCAUGGACUUCAUUUAUACCUCACACUGCCUCAGCAAUGUCAACAGCAUAAUCAAAGACGCUCAUCUGGGAGACUCCCUCUUCUCCAAGAGGUAAAAUGUGAAAACACAUACCUCAGAUUUAGGAAAAGUUUCUUCCCAGCCGUUAUCAGGCAACUGAACCAUCCUAUCAACAACAACAAAGUGGCUCUGUAAUACGAUCUAUCUCAUUGGAGACCUUGCACUAUUUUUUAAUCAGACUUUACUGGACUUCAUCUUGCACUAAACAUUAUUACCUUUCUCUUGUAUUUGUAACUGUGGAUGACUUGAUUAUAACCAUGUAUAGUCUUUCUACGGGCUAGAUGGAACACAACAAAAGUACUUUUCACAGUAGCUCGAUACGCAUGAAAAUGAACUAAACGAUAAUGUAAACAGGUUUAUUAAUUAUAUUCUGACUCACUGAAGAACAAAGUAGCAGAACAUUCCAAAUAUCUUUCAUCACUACAAACGACCAAUUUUAACCACAUCAGCUCUAACCCUUCUUUUAUCUACUUAUGACAUACAUAAGUGAAAGAGGCAGAUUAUAGGCCGUUUACUGAGAAGGCAGACUGUGAGGAAAGGGGGAUGGUCACCGAACAGCCGAAGGGGGUGUCAUCGGAGAUGGAGAUGACCAUGGGAGACUGAACUGGUUGCUGGUAGAGAGGGACUGGAAUGGAGAGAGGGUCCGGAGGGGGCAAUAGAGGUGGAAGAGAGGGGGAGGGGGAGCUGUAGAGGUGGAAGAAGAGAAUCCGAAUGGGAAGCGGAGGCCCGGAAGGGCAAUAAAGGAAACCUCCAGGGCAAACCAAUGAAAGCGGUGAUGCAACAGAGCAACAGUUUCUGUGGACAAACACAAAAGGCUGCAGUAACUCAGCGGAUGUAUUGCAUUAUGUGUGAACUAAAAAUUAGCAUAUACGAGCGUUCAUUUUUAGCUCAUCGCAUUGCAACAGAAACUAACGAAGAGAUCGUGGUGCCCCUGAGCUUCCUGCCCUUGAAGGAUAGAAUGUGAAGUCAAUGUGCACAUACUGUAUGUGCAAAGCAAGCAAAAUAUCAAUCAAAUAAAGACUUGCAUUAUUUUAAAGUUGCAUGUUGAGCUCAGAAAUUUGAGAAAGUACUUCAAAUGAAUCGUGUCAGUGUUAAAAUGUUCCAAUUGUUUAUUUGGUGAAAAUAUAUUUGAUGUGUUUGAUAUGAAUAAUUAAACAAUCUCUUUUGAUACAAAGUUUGGCUGGUUAGCAAUCUUGGUUUUAACAUUUUAAUUUCCAGAUUUGAUGCCAAUUAUUUUCCAAUGUUAUUGCCCAACCCCCUUUUCUCCAUAACUCCCUUUUCUAUUUACCCAUGCAGGAGGGCGCUAAGACCAAUUGUCAAAGUUGAAUGAUUGCCCAGUUGAACUCAGAUUGUGCUGACUUAGCUCUGUAUUACUCCCAUGCUUCACAAUAAUGGUCAAUGCCAAAGUGUCUGCUGUGAAUAUGAAUUAGAGAUGCACAGCAAACUCUUGCAGAAGCAUUUAUUCAGGAGGUUUACAAUAUGUGAAAUAGUACUCCUUCCCAAGCCUAACAUAGGGACAAUUUUGUCUCAUUGUGCCUAUGUUUAUAUCAGAAAUCAAAAUAAUUAUUCAAGGAAUUCUAAAAUGUUCUUAUUGACCCAACACAAUGGGUUUCAACUUGAAUGUCUCCAGCAAUUAUAACUCUAAAAGAGAGUGACCCUACCAUCAUUCUAACUAUCUUGUGAGGACUAAGAGGAAAUGCUAUUAUCUAUGAGCAUAUUCAUUGUUUUGUUACUUCCAAAUAAGGAAAUAACUAUUUAUUUGAUAUUCUUUCUAUUAUUGAUAUUGGGCAUCCAAUUGCAAUUCUUGCACAUAUUUAUUUGAAUGGAUAAAGUUGAAUUUUGCUGGAAAAAGGUAAUAAUUUGGAUACAGACAGGUUAUGUACAUAUCCCCCUGGCAAGAAGCUUUGAAUUAUUGUGGCGCUUCUGUAGCAAGGGUUUCUUAAAACUUAACAUUUAGGCCACUGAAUACGAUCGGCACACAGCAACUAUUCAACAAUGCGUUGCAAUAUUUGAGGAAUGUGACAGACUUUUGAUUCUUCAACAUUUAAAGUUCCAAAAAUUUGAAGGAUUAUAUAUGAAUCUGCAUUGAUUUAGAAAGGAAGCAAAGCAGAUACUUCACAAACCAAAUAGCGCAGUUACACCAGAUCAUGGGAUUAAAUUAAACCAAGGCGGUUGAGUCCAGUUCUCCCUUGCAGUUGAAUUAUGGCUGCCCUGUACCUUAACUAUAUCUACAUACUUUAGUUCUGUAACCCAUCCAUACUCUACCCUCUCAACAAUCACAGUAUUGUUAUUUUUCAUUAGUCUUAACAACCUUUUGGGGGAAUAGGUCAGAUUUCCAAUGUGAGGAUUUGCUGAACUCCACUUAAGGUUACACCCUUUUGUUCGAUAUCUACAACCGGAAGAGCUGUUCCCUCUGCACUGUCAAAUCCUUUAAUCCACAAAUAUCUCAAGGAUCCCAAUGCAGCUUCAAAUAAAAGGAAAAAAUUAAUUUUAAACACCAUCAUACUUAAGAAGAGUCUCCAAGUAUUAGUUUAGUUUAGAGAUACAGUGUGGAAACAGGACUUUUGACCCACCGAGUCCGCACUGACCAGCAAUCACAGGUGUCAGGGAUAAUGGGGAGAAGAUGGAGUAUGGUAUGGGGUUAGGAGGGAGAGAUAGAUCAGCCAUGAUUGAAUGGCAGAGUAGACUUGAAUGGCCUAAUUCUGCUCUUAUCACUUAUGACGUUAUGAUCCCCGCUCAUUAAUACUAUCCAACACUUGGGACAAUUUUUGCACUUAUUCCAAGCCAAUUAACCUUCAAACCUGUAUGUCUUUGGAGUGUGGGAGAAACCCGAAGAUCUAGGAGAAGACCCAUGCGGUCACAAGAACGCACAAACACCGUACAGACAGGUACCGUAGCCAGGAUAGAACCUGGGUCUCUGGCGCUGUCAUUGCUGUAAAGCAGCAACUCUACCGCUGCGCCACCGUGCCGCUCCAUAUUAUUGGAAGUUCAUUGUCUUGUCCCAAUGGCAACAUCUUGUUUUGUAUUUGGUGCACCAACAUCUCAAUUGUGUCUUCGUAAACAUGUUUAUGAUUUUGCUCUAUCAUGUGCAUAAAGGAAAUAUUUCUCCAGGGAUUAUAAUAAUAAAAGGGUGUAAAUAGGUUUGGAUGUUCAUAUUGGUAACUGCAUUCAAAAAUAUGAAGGAGAUACUGCCCGGAAACUGGUUUGUAUAGCAUCUUAUAUUAUUCCCUCAAACUGAUCUAAUUUUGAGUUUACUCAGACAUUUUGUUGGAAAUAAUUUUCAAGUAAAAUCCUUCCACAUAAAAAAAUGUUUUGGGCCCCAACAUGCACUAUUCACUUCAGGCAUGCAUCUAAUGAUUUUGUUUGUGUUAUGUACAAUACCACUCUGGAAAUAAAGAUAUUAUUCCAUACAUUGGACCAUAUUCUGGAACAAUUGCAACACACUCCGUUGUUGCUUCAUUUUGCUACAUGAACGGACAUUCAUGAUGAAAUGAGAGUCCGAUUUUUGGAAGUGACAGCAAGUUGCUCAGGCCUUUUGAAGUUAAUGGUCUGGGCUACCAGUAACAGGGAGGACAUUUCCAGUAGGUAUCAACUGGUGUCUUUGCGGUGCCAACGCCAGCAACUCACCAUUAGAGUCAUAGUCAGGUAGCACAGAAAGGGCUUUUCAGUCCCAUCUGCCUAUAUUCAUACCUUUCCUAUAUAAAUGUCUUUGAAAUGUUGUUAUAAGAUCUGCAUCAACAACCUGCCCUGGCAGCUCCGUGUUGUGUGAAAAAGUUGCCCCUCCGGUUCCGACUACA